rnacentral:SRP_RNA from 1 species
GCCGGGCGUGGUGACGCGUGCCUGUAGUCCUAGCUACUCGGGAGGCUGAGGCUGGAGGAUUGCUUGAAUCCAGGAGUUCUGGGCUGUAGUGCGCUAUGCUGAUUGGGUGUCCGCACUAAGUUCGGCAUCAAUAUGGUGACCUCCUGGGAGCGGGGGACCAAUAGGUUGCCUAAGGAGGGGUCAACCUGACCAGGUCGGAAACAAGAGUAGGUCAAAACUCCUGUGCUGAUCAGUAAUGGGAUCACAUCUGUGAAUAGCCACUGCACUCCAGCCUGGGCAACAUAUCGAGACCCCAUCUCU